rnacentral:miRNA from 1 species
UGUUCCAGUUUUGAGAGGAGUGU